AAUGGGUUUCCAGUAUCAGCCAAAAAACUUACUAAGCAUAUUCUAAAAGAGCUACAGCAAUU
rnacentral:snoRNA from 1 species